CUUUUUCCCAGUUAUAAAAACCCAGUGGAAUUCCUAUUUGUGCGUUACCUUUCAGGAUAUGGCUCCUGUAUUUUGUGCAUGAUCUUUCCUUUUGUUCUUUUCCUUCACAGAUGACCACGGUUGGCUAGCUUAUAUCACGACAGGUUCUACAGGACCCUUUCAUAGGACACCGUGCCAUCUCCAGCCCUGCUUGGUUCACGCUGGUGGUGGAGUGUCAUGGGGGCUCCUAGGUGUGCUCUGGAAGCCAUUCCCACACUGGAGGGAUGGAAGCCAGCUGUCAUUUUGUGAGCUGCCAUGUGACAGGGAACUGAAGCGUCCAGCCAAUAGCCAGGGAAGACUGGAGGCCCACCAAGAGCCAUGCAAGUGACCUGGAAAGUUGGGUCCUCCCCCAGUGAAGCUUGGGAUGACUGCAGCCUAGGGGACUCUGAGCUGAGGACCCACCUUAGCUGUGCCUGAU